UCUCCCUCCCCCAAAACAUUUCUUAUUUUCGCAGAAACGAGAGUGGUUAGCGGAGGAGAUAACGUCCAUAAAACCCUAAAUUCUGUACCGCCAUUUUCGCCGCCGUUCCCUCUGCCGUUUUCGCCGCCGGCGCAAUUACAACUGCCGCGUCCGUUGCAGUAGAGAGCUUCUGGAUUGAGCCACCUAUUUUAUCAACCCGUUUUCAAAUCUGUCUCUCUAUAUUGUCGUAGCUGUCACGGUUGCCACCGCAGUUUCCGCCGCCGUUGCCGCCACAGUUUCAGCCGUCAAUGCCACCGUAGUUGCCGUGGUACAACACGUUUUCAGAUUUGUUCACUCCGGAGCUUCUUCUUCAACGCCGCUUCCUCUCACUCCAAUUUCUCCUUUGAACUGUCGCUGGACUAUUGGAAACGAGGCAGGGAAGACAUGAUAAUUGAUCAUUGAAGUUGUUUUGUUUCACGCCAGUAGAUUUUUAAGUGUUGGCAGAAUAAUUCUCUCUCUCUCUCUCUCUCUCUCUCUCUCUCUCUCUAAUUCGAUGGAAACAGCUUGGGUUUCUCUUACUUGCAUCUCGAUUUAGCAGCAUCGGCAUCCAAUAAUCUUGCUUGAAAUUCGUUAUGGAGGGAUCUCUGGGAUUGAAGAUAGUGGCAAGUCUGAGGCGCAUUUGACUUCAGCUGCUGCUUUUGUGGAGGGUGGAAUUCAGGAUGCUUGUGACGGUGCUUGCAGCAUCUGUCUUGAAGCCUUCUGUGACCGUGAUCCUUCCACCAUAUGACCCUGAUUUUUAUCACGUGUUCAUUUCUUUGGAUGACUAAAGUGAGAUAGAAUCAAAACUAUACAAUAAUAAAUUGAUGGAUUUGAACCCACUGCAGAUUUGCUAGCAGAGGUGUGUAAAAGAGAGAUAAAAGCAAACAUUAAACCUGAUCCAGAUAUCGAUGUUUAUAUGAUCAUAAGCUUUGUCCAAUUUGUCUUACUAAUGGGAAGGAUAUGGCCUUUGGUUGUGGGCAUCAGGAGCACAAUCGGUACUAGAAUAAAGCUUUACUAGUUAACUUGGCUCAAACCCUUGUUUCUGUGGCACAUGCAUACAUUGCUAGAACAAGAGGCCACAAUUGGUGAAGGGAAACAUGCAACUUCACUCGGUGGAUCAGCAGCGUAGUCAGGCUCUUGAAGCUCAUGCUGCAUCCUUUGCUCAAUUUAAGGUUCCUGGAAAUGAUAAUCCUUCUGUUUUGAUAUCUUUUGCCUCAAAGACACUUAAUGCUGGUCAAAUUAUAUUGAAGCUACAUGUUAUUGAACUCGAUGCACCGUCAGGUCUGCAUAUUUUUGCCUCUCACACCUGCCCCUCAUGUUUUUAUUCUAUGGCAACAUGGGUGUUACACAAACGUCUCUUGUAGUACUAAGUUACUUGUCCUCUCCUGAUUUCUCAUAUAAUUAGAUGAUAUUGAAAUAUUUUUAUUUUGAGACUUUUAUGUAAUUAGAUGAUAUUGAAAUAUUGAAGUUGUUUUAUUUUA